rnacentral:rRNA from 1 species
AUAAUAAUUAGUCUUUUAAUUGAAGGCUGGAAUGAAGGAUUGGACGAGGUAAAUUCUGUCUCAUUUAAAUUAAAAUUUGAAUUUAAUUUUUAAGUUAAAAAGCUUAAAUGUUAUUAAAGGACGAGAAGCCCCUAUAGAGUUUUAUAAUAUUAAAUUUAAUAAAUUUUAAUUUUAUUUUGUUAUAUUAAUAUUAUUUUGUUGGGGCGACAGGAAAAUUUAUUAAACUUUUUUAUAUUUUAGACAUUUAUUUAUGAAUUUUUGAUCCUAAAUUUUAGAUUAUUAGAUUAAGUUACCUUAGGGAUAACAGCG